ACCUCAGGGAAUCAAGCCAACAAAGACACACUCCUCUGAUCACAUGCAUCAUCUACAUGUUCCAGAAGCCUGAGAUCACUUAUGGGAAACUGAUGUCAGACCUUUGGCUCCAAGUUUAAGGUAUUGUUUUGGCCAUAAAAUGUAAUAUAACAGUCAAACAAAUGUGGAUCACCGAUGUCCUAACUUGCAGGCAUGAAAUUAAAUUAAGGUUCCAUCUUCAUGAACCUGUAAUUUAUUUCUGAGCCAAGAAAGAGUAUUAUUAUUUACAUAUAUUACAUAUAGUUUAUAUUCAUUUUGUCAUUGUCAUUGUUGUCAAGAAACAAUCUGUGUGCAGUUUUAUAUCUUGAUAUUAUCAGGAUAUAAAACUGCACACAAUAUCUCAAUAUAUUAUAUAUAAGACACACUGCCCAUUGAGUUUUUGGGCAAUGUUUGUUUUUAAUAGUUUGAGAAUUUAUUCACAACCUUUUUUAACACCAAAUCUUUGGUCAAGUGACAUCAUGUGACCCUCAGGCAAAAGGAGUGUCUUCUAUUUCCAUGAUUAUUUGUUCAGCACAUAAAGGCAUCUGUGUGUCAAAGUAGAUCAGGCUGUUUUACCGGUUGAAACGGAGUCUUUCAUUGCCGUCGUACAUCUGAAGUCUGAUUGGUCGACGUAGACCCCAAUGGAUGUUCAGCAGCCCCUCGAGGACAAGCCCUCCAUUAUCCUAGACACACACAGAAACACACACAUGUAACAACAAUCACCAGUGGGUACAGUCAGAGGGGAUAUCCUGCUGGCCACCCGCCAUAACGGCUCAGUAUCAGGUGUACGUGCAGGAGCGGUCGCUCACAGCUGCACGGUGACCCCUCUCAUCUUGGACAAAACCUGUAAGGUUUGUUCCUCCCUUCUUUACACAGUACAAGGAUGAAGUCACGUCUGAGGAGUCAGCAACAGAGCCAAGUAUGCUUUGGGUCACGUACACAAGCGAGAACUAUUUCGUUUUCAUAAAACUGAAACUCUAAAAUUAGAAAAAUGAUGGUGUCACCACUGUGUUCUGUGAGAUCAGAACACAGACCUUUCCCCUGUUUGAGAUUAAAUGUAAAACCAUAACUAAAAAAUGUCGUCAGCAUGAGGUCAGACAAAAGGUUAAAGUUUUAUGUGCAUGUAUCAUAACAUGAGCUGGCAAUAAAUCCGACACAUGCACCACAA